rnacentral:rRNA from 1 species
GCGAGUGGCGGACGGGUGAGGAAUACAUCGGAAUCUACUCUUUCGUGGGGGAUAACGUAGGGAAACUUACGCUAAUACCGCAUACGACCUACGGGUGAAAGCGGAGGACCUUCGGGCUUCGCGCGAUUGAAUGAGCCGAUGUCGGAUUAGCUAGUUGGCGGGGUAAAGGCCCACCAAGGCGACGAUCCGUAGCUGGUCUGAGAGGAUGAUCAGCCACACUGGAACUGAGACACGGUCCAGACUCCUACGGGAGGCAGCAGUGGGGAAUAUUGGACAAUGGGCGCAAGCCUGAUCCAGCCAUGCCGCGUGGGUGAAGAAGGCCUUCGGGUUGUAAAGCCCUUUUGUUGGGAAAGAAAAGCAGUCGGUUAAUACCCGAUUGUUCUGACGGUACCCAAAGAAUAAGCACCGGCUAACUUCGUGCCAGCAGCCGCGGUAAUACGAAGGGUGCAAGCGUUACUCGGAAUUACUGGGCGUAAAGCGUGCGUAGGUGGUGGUUUAAGUCUGUUGUGAAAGCCCUGGGCUCAACCUGGGAAUUGCAGUGGAUACUGGGUCACUAGAGUGUGGUAGAGGGUAGCGGAAUUCCCGGUGUAGCAGUGAAAUGCGUAGAGAUCGGGAGGAACAUCCGUGGC